AGACGGGGGCCCGCACAAGCGGUGGAGUAUGUGGUUUAAUUCGAUGCAACGCGAAGAACCUUACCUGGUCUUGACAUCCCAGAAAUCCCUUGGAAACUUGGGAGUGCUUCCAUUAGGAAGAAUCUGGAGACAGGUGCUGCAUGGCUGUCGUCAGCUCGUGUCGUGAGAUGUUGGGUUAAGUCCCGCAACGAGCGCAACCCUUGCCUUUAGUUGCCAGCAGUUCGGCUGGGCACUCUAAAGGGACUGCCGGUGUUAAACCGGAGGAAGGUGGGGAUGACGUCAAGUCCUCAUGGCCUUUAUGACCAGGGCUACACACGUACUACAAUGGCCGAUACAAAGGGCAGCGACAUUGCGAAAUGAAGCCAAUCCCAUAAAUUCGGUCUCAGUCCGGAUUGGAGUCUGCAACUCGACUCCAUGAAGUUGGAAUCGCUAGUAAUCGUGGAUCAGCAUGCCACGGUGAAUACGUUCCCGGGCCUU
rnacentral:rRNA from 1 species